GACGAACGCUGGCGGCGUGCUUAACACAUGCCAGUCGAACGGAAAGGCCCUGCUUUUGUGGGGUGCUCGAGUGGCGAACGGGUGAGUAACACGUGAGUAACCUGCCCUUGACUUUGGGAUAACUUCAGGAAACUGGGGCUAAUACCGGAUAGGAGCUCCUGCUGCAUGGUGGGGGUUGGAAAGUUUCGGCGGUUGGGGAUGGACUCGCGGCUUAUCAGCUUGUUGGUGGGGUAGUGGCUUACCAAGGCUUUGACGGGUAGCCGGCCUGAGAGGGUGACCGGCCACAUUGGGACUGAGCUACGGCCCAGACUCCUACGGGAGGCAGCAGUGGGGAAUAUUGCACAAUGGGCGGAAGCCUGAUGCAGCAACGCCGCGUGCGGGAUGACGGCAUUCGGGUUGUAAACCGCUUUCGCCUGUGACGAAGCGUGAGUGACGGUAAUGGGUAAAGAAGCACCGGCUAACUACGUG
rnacentral:rRNA from 1 species